rnacentral:tRNA from 1 species
UGGGUCGUAGCCAAGCGGUAAGGCAACAGGUUUUGAUCCUGUUAUGCGAAGGUUCGAGUCCUUCCGACCCAACCA